rnacentral:rRNA from 1 species
GUGAGGAAUAUUGCGCAAUGGAGGCAACUCUGACGCAGCCAUGCCGCGUGCAGGAAGAAGGCGCUACGCGUUGUAAACUGCUUUUAACCGGGAAGAAAACCCAGGACGUGUCCUGGGUUGACGGUACCGGAGGAAUAAGCCCCGGCUAACUUCGUGCCAGCAGCCGCGGUAAUACGAAGGGUGCAAGCGUUAUCCGGAUUCAGUGGGGUUAAAGGGUGCGUAGGCGGAGCGUUAAGUCAGUGGUGAAAUCCUGCAGCUUAACUGUAGACUUGCCAUGGAUACUGGCGCUCUUGAGUGCGCUUGAAGUGGGCGGAAUGUGCCGUGUAGCGGUAAAAUGCUUAGAUAUGGCACAGAACACCAAUUGCGAAGGCAGCUCACUAAGGCGAUACUGACGCUGAGGCACGAAAGCGUGGGGAUCGAACAGGAUUAGAAACCCUGGUAGUCC